rnacentral:lncRNA from 1 species
UUUUUCAUAUAAUAUUGAAUUUAGGCAUUCAAAAUCAUUUUAAUAAUUAAAUUAUUUCUACUUAAUCUAAUACCGUUAAAAUACAUUAAAUAUAUCACUUAUUUAAUAAUUAUGUAAUAUAUUAUUAUAUUAUACUUUAUUUAAAAUACAUUAAAAUAAGUGUUGCAGUGAAUAAGAUGAGUUUAUUAUUCAAGUUAUAAAAAUAUAUUAAAAUAAGCAUUACACUUU